rnacentral:rRNA from 1 species
CAAAUAGACUACCCGAGGUAGUCCACGCCGUAAACGAUGAGUACUAGGUGUAGGGGUAUCGACCCCGUCUGUGCCGAAGCUAACGCGAUAAGUACUCCGCCUGGGGACUACGGCCGCAAGGCUAAAACUCAAAGGAAUUGACGGGGGCCCGCACAAGCAGCGGAGCGUGUGGUUUAAUUCGAUGAUACGCGAAGAACCUCACCCAGGUUUGACAUGCAUGUGGUACUGAGGUGAAAGCCGAGGGACCCUUCGGGGAGCAUGCACAGGUGUUGCACGGCCGUCGUCAGCUCGUGCCGUGAGGUGUUGGGUUAAGUCCCGCAACGAGCGCAACCCUAUCGCCAGUUGUAUUUUUCUGGCGAGACUGCCGAGAAAACCUCGGAGGAAGGAGGGGACGAUGUCAGGUCAGCGUGGCCCUUACGCCUGGGGCUACACACACGCUACAAUGGGUCGUACAACGGGCUGCGAAGCCGCGAGGCGGAGCCAAUCCCAUCAAAGCGAUCCUCAGUUCGGAUUGCAGGCUGAAACCCGCCUGCAUGAAGCC